GUUUAUAUAUUUUAACAAGAAAAUAAUUUUGAAGAAGUUAAGGUAUUUUAGCA
rnacentral:tRNA from 1 species